rnacentral:tRNA from 1 species
UAGCUCAGUUGGUAGAGCAUCCCCUUGACGUGGGGAGGGUCAGAGGUUCGAGUCCUCU